AUACGAGUCCCUUAGUGUUACAAUUAAAAAAGCUUUUAACCUUAAAAGCCCCUUGGCCCAAACUGUCACUUAUUGUUUUAGAGCCCUUAGAUAUGUACUUACAGGCUACACACCUGCCACAGCAGUAGGUACCACAGGGGGGAGUUCCCAGCCAGGAAGGUCGUAUCGGUGUCUUAGUGGAAAAAUGACUCGGUACCAACAAGUCACGGAUAUUACGUCCACGUCUAGCUGUAAUAUUUACUUGUGGGCCCAAAACAUCCUUUAAGUGUACAUCAUUUAAAAGAAUGGGCCAAAAUCUAUCUAGGGAUUUACGUACCUCAGACCAGCCUGUAUCAUAUGUCGCAAUCAUGCGAAUAGUGCCUAAUUCCCUGCCCUCAGACUUAA